rnacentral:rRNA from 1 species
UACAGAGGGUGCAAGCGUUAAUCGGAAUUACUGGGCGUAAAGCGUGCGUAGUCGGUUAUCUAAGUCGGAUGUGAAAUCCCCGGGCUCAACCUGGGAAUUGCAUUCGAUACUGGAUAGCUAGAGUUCGGCAGAGGGAAGUGGAAUUUCGGGUGUAGCGGUGAAAUGCGUAGAUAUCCGAAGGAACAUCAGUGGCGAAAGCGACUUCCUGGACCAGAACUGACGAUCAGGCACGAAAGCGUGGGGAGCAACAGG